rnacentral:rRNA from 1 species
AGUGAACGCUGGCGGUAGGCCUAACACAUGCAAGUCGAACGGCAGCACAGGAGAGCUUGCUCUCUGGGUGGCGAGUGGCGGACGGGUGAGGAACACAUCGGAAUCUACUCUGUCGUGGGGGAUAACGUAGGGAAACUUACGCUAAUACCGCAUACGACCUACGGGUGAAAGCAGGGGACCUUCGGGCCUUGCGCGAUUGAAUGAGCCGAUGUCGGAUUAGCUAGUUGGCGGGGUAAAGGCCCACCAAGGCGACGAUCCGUAGCUGGUCUGAGAGGAUGAUCAGCCACACUGGAACUGAGACACGGUCCAGACUCCUACGGGAGGCAGCAGUGGGGAAUAUUGGACAAUGGGCGCAAGCCUGAUCCAGCCAUACCGCGUGGGUGAAGAAGGCCUUCGGGUUGUAAAGCCCUUUUGUUGGGAAAGAAAUCCAGCUGGCUAAUACCCGGUUAGGAUGACGGUACCCAAAGAAUAAGCACCGGCUAACUUCGUGCCAGCCGCCGCAGUAA